ACACGGAGGGCGCAAGCGUUGCUCGGAAUCAAUGGGCGUAAAGCGGGGGUAGGCGGUCUAGCAAGUCAGAUGUGAAAGCCCACGGCUCAACCGUGGAAGUGCAUCUGAAACUGCUAGACUUGAGUGCCGGAGAGGGAAGUGGAAUUCCUGGUGUAGGGGUGAAAUCCGUAGAUAUCAGGAGGAACACCGGUGGCGAAGGCGACUUCCUGGACGGCCACUGACGCUGAGACCCGAAAGCGUGGGGAGCAAACAGGAUUAGAAACCCUAGUAGUCC
rnacentral:rRNA from 1 species